AGAGUUUGAUCAUGGCUCAGAUUGAACGCUGGCGGAAUGCUUUACACAUGCAAGUCGAACGGCAGCACGGACUUCGGUCUGGUGGCGAGUGGCGAACGGGUGAGUAACAUAUCGGAACGUAUCCAAUAAUGGGGGAUAACUAAUCGAAAGGUUGGCUAAUACCGCAUACGCCCUACGGGGGAAAGCAGGGGAUCUUCGGACCUUGCGUUAAUGGAGCGGCCGAUAUCUGAUUAGCUAGUUGGUGGGGUAAAGGCCCACCAAGGCGACGAUCAGUAGCUGGUCUGAGAGGACGACCAGCCACACUGGAACUGAGACACGGUCCAGACUCCUACGGGAGGCAGCAGUGGGGAAUUUUGGACAAUGGGCGCAAGCCUGAUCCAGCCAUUCCGCGUGAGUGAAGAAGGCCUUCGGGUUGUAAAGCUCUUUCGCAAGGGAAGAAACGUUACCGGUGAAUAUCCGGUGAUAAUGACGGUACCUGAAGAAUAAGCACCGGCUAACUACGUGCCAGCAGCCGCGGUAAUACGUAGGGUGCAAGCGUUAAUCGGAAUUACUGGGCGUAAAGCGUGCGCAGGCGGCUUUGCAAGGCAGAUGUGAAAUCCCCGGGCUCAACCUGGGAACUGCAUUUGUGACUGCAUGGCUAGAGUGCGGCAGAGGGGGAUGGAAUUCCACGUGUAGCAGUGAAAUGCGUAGAUAUGUGGAGGAAUACCGAUGGCGAAGGCAGCCCCCUGGGAUAACACUGACGCUCAUGCACGAAAGCGUGGGGAGCAAACAGGAUUAGAUACCCUGGUAGUCCACGCCCUAAACGAUGUCUACUAGUUGUCGGGUCUUAAUUGACUUGGUAACGCAGCUAACGCGUGAAGUAGACCGCCUGGGGAGUACGGUCGCAAGAUUAAAACUCAAAGGAAUUGACGGGGACCCGCACAAGCGGUGGAUGAUGUGGAUUAAUUCGAUGCAACGCGAAAAACCUUACCUACCCUUGACAUGUACGGAACCCUGCUGAGAAGUGGGGGUGCUCGAAAGAGAGCCGUAACACAGGUGCUGCAUGGCUGUCGUCAGCUCGUGUCGUGAGAUGUUGGGUUAAGUCCCGCAACGAGCGCAACUCUUGUCAUUAGUUGCUACAUUUAGUUGAGCACUCUAAUGAGACUGCCGGUGACAAACCGGAGGAAGGUGGGGAUGACGUCAAGUCCUCAUGGCCCUUAUGGGUAGGGCUUCACACGUCAUACAAUGGUACAUACAGAGGGCUGCCAAACCGCGAGGUGGAGCUAAUCCCAGAAAGUGUAUCGUAGUCCGGAUUGUAGUCUGCAACUCGACUACAUGAAGUUGGAAUCGCUAGUAAUCGCGGAUCAGCAUGUCGCGGUGAAUACGUUCCCGGGUCUUGUACACACCGCCCGUCACACCAUGGGAGCGGGUUUCGCCAGAAGUAGGUAGCUUAACCGUAAGGAGGGCGCUUACCACGGCGGGGUUCGUGACUGGGGUGAAGUCGUAACAAGGUAGCCGUAUCGGAAGGUGCGGCUGGAUCACCUCCUU
rnacentral:rRNA from 1 species